AAUGGGGGCAACCCUGAUCCAGCCAUGCCGCGUGAGUGAAGAAGGCCUUCGGGUUGUAAAGCUCUUUCGGACGGAAAGAAAUCGCGCAGGUAAAUAAUCUGCGUGGAUGACGGUACCGUAAGAAGAAGCACCGGCUAACUACGUGCCAGCAGCCGCGGUAAUACGUAGGGUGCGAGCGUUAAUCGGAAUUACUGGGCGUAAAGCGUGCGCAGGCGGCUUUGUAAGACAGGUGUGAAAUCCCCGGGCUUAACCUGGGAAUGGCGCUUGUGACUGCAAGGCUCGAGUGCGGCAGAGGGGGGUGGAAUUCCACGUGUAGCAGUGAAAUGCGUAGAGAUGUGGAGGAACACCGAUGGCGAAGGCAGCCCCCUGGGUCGACACUGACGCUCAUGCACGAAAGCGUGGGGAGCAAA
rnacentral:rRNA from 1 species